rnacentral:rRNA from 1 species
UGCCUACGGGGGGCAGCAGUGGGGGAUAUUGCACAAUGGGGGGAACCCUGAUGCAGCGACGCCGCGUGGGCGAUGGAGUACUUCGGUAUGUAAAGCCCUAUCAGCAGGGAAGAAAAUGACGGUACCUGACUAAGAAGCCCCGGCUAACUACGUGCCAGCAGCCGCGGUAAUACGUAGGGGGCGAGCGUUAUCCGGAAUUACUGGGUGUAAAGGGAGCGUAGACGGCGAGGUAAGCCUGAAGUGGAAGCCCGCGGCCCAACCGCGGAACUGCUUUGGGAACUGUUUUGCUGGAGUAUGGGAGGGGG